rnacentral:rRNA from 1 species
UACGGAGGGUGCAAGCGUUAAUCGGAAUUACUGGGCGUAAAGCGCACGCAGGCGGUUAAGUAAGUCAGGUGUGAAAGCCCCGGGCUUAACCUUGGAAUUGCAUCUGAAACUGGUUGGCUAGAGUUCUGUAGAGGGGGGUAGAAUUCCAUGUGUAGCGGUGAAAUGCGUAGAGAUGUGGAGGAAUACCGGUGGCGAAGGCGGCCCCCUGGACAAAGACUGACGCUCAGGUGCGAAAGCGUGGGGAGCAAACAGG